UUCGCAAUGCCCGAAAGGGUGACGAAGCGACGCCGCGUGGGUGAAGAAGGCCUUCGGGUUGUAAAGCCCUGUCAGGAGUUAUGAAAUGUAAGUGCGCUAAUAUCGUGCUUAUUUGACAAAGGCUCCAAAGGAAGCCACGGCUAACUCUGUGCCAGCAGCCGCGGUAAUACAGAGGUGGCGAGCGUUGUUCGGAAUUAUUGGGCGUAAGGAGCACGUAGGUGGGUUUGCAAGUCAGAUGUGAAAGCCUUCUGUUCAACGGAAGAAUUGCAUCUGAAACUGCUAAUCUUGAGUAUAGGAGGGGAGAAUGGAACUUCUGGUGGAGCGGUGAAAUGCGUAGAUAUCAGAAGGAACGCCGGCGGCGAAAGCGAUUCUCUGGCCUAUUACUGACACUCAGUGUGCGAAAGCUAGGGGAGCAAACGGGAUUAGAUACCCCGGUAGUCCUAGCCGUAAACGAUGGGCACUAAGUAGAGGGGUUUU
rnacentral:rRNA from 1 species